UCUUCCUCCACCUAUUCCCCUCUGGCCCUCUCUCCCUUGCCCUCUUCCUCUCCUCCCCUGACGCACGCACCCACCCUCGGCCCUCCUUCCUCCUCUCUCCUCCUCAGCCCCCCCACAGGAAUCUGGAGCAUCGCCGGGCCGCCGCGUCUUGAUGGAGAUGGACGGCAUCUUCCUCCUGCUACUCGAUGCCUGCGUCGUUCUCCACUUCCAAAUCCAUGGCGGCCUGUCCCUGAAACAUACCUGCGAUGCUGCAGACUUCGAGGUGCUGCGGUGGGCGGCGCCGUCGUGGAAGGAGAUGGGCGCCAGGUCACCACCGGUCUGAUCUCGUCCGACCCGCCGACUGUCCUCGUCCCCACCUCCAUCCCUCGCGCCGAACUCUGCUGGCCUCCGCCUCUCUCCUUCUCCUGUGCCCCGAUGUCCUCCCCUGCCAACAGCAGCCACCCCUUCCCUCCACGCAUCGACGCCGGCCGGAACGGGCGGGAUCUGUCUCUCUCAGGAGAUUUGCCGUUCCCGCGUCCUCCUCGCACUUUGUCCCCAUCUCUCUCCCCACCCCUGUCGCUCUCUCCUUCCGCUCGCUUUCCGCCGUCGCUCGUCCAUGCCCAUGGCCACUGCGGCGACGGCGGCAUUUCGUCCCGCUUUGAGUCGCUCCGCUCCAAGUGUCGCGUCGUUGACGGCCGUGCCCUCCGCUUUCGUCCACGCCGGCCUCUGCCCAGCUUCCGCCUGGGCUGCUCCAAACCCUCGACACCGGGUUCAUCGAGCUCGUCGAAUGCCUCGAGCCGAUAGACAUCGGAGGCGAGCGCGUUCCCAUGGCCAUGUGUGUUUGCUUGGUCCAACCUAAGUUGAUUAUGUACGGUUCUUGUGUGGUCAUAUGCAGGAUGUUGUACAAAGGGCUCCAGGCACCUAAUGGAAGAAGGCCAGUGCUAUCCUCAGAUCACCUUGUUAUUUAUGUGAUAAUGAGAUUACAUUCCCUUCUACCUGAGAUGGAGAGGGGCCAUGAAGGAGUUGUUGCUUUUAACAGAAGAUUUUGUUGCUGCAGGGAGGUGUUUUCUAUCUGAAACUGUUUGUCAUGUACAUACGGUAGAUGUCAUCAAGUUUGAAUUGAUGUUGGGUGAGGUCUGUCUGAAAGUGAUUCAUGAUGCAGGUUUAAAAUCAAGUUGGAAAGUACUACAUGAACAUUCUUUUCUCUGUCUGCUGUGAUUCCAACUUGGUGCAUGUAAAUAACAACUUGAUUUCAGCUUGGUUGGAAUUAUCCUGUGAUCUUAGCAAGCUUUUGGUCCAAA